rnacentral:rRNA from 1 species
UACGGAGGAUCCGAGCGUUAUCCGGAUUUAUUGGGUUUAAAGGGUGCGCAGGCGGGAUGUUAAGUCGGCGGUGAAAUUUUGCAGCUCAACUGUAAAAGUGCCUUCGAUACUGGCUUCCUUGAGUGUGGAUGAAGUAGGCGGAAUUUGUGGUGUAGCGGUGAAAUGCAUAGAUAUCACGAGGAACUCCGAUUGCGCAGGCAGCUUACUAAACUACUACUGACGCUCAGGCACGAAGGCGUGGGGAUCAAACAGGAUUAGAUACCCGGGUA